CCUACGGGCGGCAGCAGUGGGGAAUAUUGCGCAAUGGGCGAAAGCCUGACGCAGCGACGCCGCGUGAGGGAUGAAGGUCCUCGGAUCGUAAACCUUCGUCAGUAGGGAAGUACGGUCACUGUGCUAAUCAGCAGUGAAUUGACGGUACCUGCAAAGGAAGCACCGGCUCACUCCGUGCCAGCAGCCGCGGUAAUACGGAGGGUGCGUGCGUUACUCGGAAUUACUGGGCGUAAAGCGCUCGUAGGUGGUAUGUCAAGUCAAGGGUGAAAUCCCCGCGCUCAACGAGAGAACUGCCGUUGAAACUGGCAGACUGGAGUGUGUGAGAGGAUAGUGGAAUUCGAGGUGUAGGAGUGAAAUCCGUAGAUAUCUGGAAGAACAUCGAUGGCGAAGGCAACUAUCUGGCACAUAACUGACGCUGAGGAGCGAAAGCGUGGGUAGCAAACAGGAUUAGAUACCCCUGUAGUC
rnacentral:rRNA from 1 species